rnacentral:rRNA from 1 species
UACGUAGGGUGCAAGCGUUAUCCGGAAUUAUUGGGCGUAAAGAGCUCGUAGGCGGUUUGUCGCGUCUGCUGUGAAAACUGGAGGCUCAACCUCCAGCCUGCAGUGGGUACGGGCGGACUGGAGGCCAGUAGGGGGAUGCGGAAUUCCGGGUGAGUGGUGGAAUGCGUAGAUAUCAGGAGGAACACCGGUGGCGAAGGCGGGUCUCUGGGCCGAUACUGACGUGAGGAGCGAAAGCGUGGGGAGCGAACAGG